rnacentral:rRNA from 1 species
ACGUAGGUGGCAAGCGUUAUCCGGAAUUAUUGGGCGUAAAGCGCGCGUAGGCGGUUUUUUAAGUCUGAUGUGAAAGCCCACGGCUCAACCGUGGAGGGUCAUUGGAAACUGGAAAACUUGAGUGCAGAAGAGGAAAGUGGAAUUCCAUGUGUAGCGGUGAAAUGCGCAGAGAUAUGGAGGAACACCAGUGGCGAAGGCGACUUUCUGGUCUGCAACUGACGCUGAUGUGCGAAAGCGUGGGGAUCAAACAG